rnacentral:rRNA from 1 species
ACACCGAAGUCAAGCAUCAUUGGGCGCGGUGAGUACUUGGGUAGGUGACCACCUGGGAACACCGCGUGCCGUU